rnacentral:rRNA from 1 species
GCCACACCGGGACUGAGACACGGCCCGGACUCCUACGGGAGGCAGCAGUGGGGAAUAUUGGACAAUGGGGGCAACCCUGAACCAGCCAUGCCGCGUGUGUGAAGAAGGCCUUUUGGUUGUAAAGCACUUUAAGCAGUGAAGAAGACCUAACGGUUAAUACCCGUUAGCGAUGACAUUAGCUGCAGAAUAAGCACCGGCUAACUCUGUGCCAGCAGCCGCGGUAAUACAGAGGGUGCAAGCGUUAAUCGGAAUUACUGGGCGUAAAGCGAGCGUAGGUGGCUUGAUAAGUCAGAUGUGAAAUCCCCGGGCUUAACCUGGGAACUGCAUCUGAUACUGUUGGGCUAGAGUAGGUGAGAGGGAGGUAGAAUUUCAGGUGUAGCGGUGAAAUGCGUAGAGAUCUGAAGGAAUACCGAUGGCGAAGGCAGCCUCCUGGCAUCAUACUGACACUGAGGUUCGAAAGCGUGGGUAGCAAACAGGAUUAGAUACCCUGGUAGUCCACGCCGUAAAACGAUGUCUACUAGUCGUUGGGGAACUUGAUUCCUUAGUGACGCAGCUAACGCAAUAAGUAGACCGCCUGGGGAGUACGGCCGCAAGGUUAAAACUCAAAUGAAUUGACGGGGGCCCGCACAAGCGGUGGAGCAUGUGGUUUAAUUCGAUGCAACGCGAAGAACCUUACCUGGUCUUGACAUAUCUAGAAUCCUGCAGAGAUGCGGGAGUGCCUUCGGGAAUUAGAAUACAGGUGCUGCAUGGCUGUCGUCAGCUCGUGUCGUGAGAUGUUGGGUUAAGUCCCGCAACGAGCGCAACCCUUUUCCUUAGUUACCAGCGGUUUGGCCGGGGACUCUAAGGAUACUGCCAGUGACAAACUGGAGGAAGGCGGGGACGACGUCAAGUCAUCAUGGCCCUUACGACCAGGGCUACACACGUGCUACAAUGGUAGGUACAGAGGGCAGCUACACAGCGAUGUGAUGCGAAUCUCAAAAAGCCUAUCGUAGUCCAGAUUGGAGUCUGCAACUCGACUCCAUGAAGUAGGAAUCGCUAGUAAUCGCGGAUCAGAAUGCCGCGGUGAAUACGUUCCCGGGCCUUGUACACACCGCCCGUCACACCAUGGGAGUUGAUUGCACCAGAAGUGGGUAGCCUAACUUUUAGAGGGCGCUCACCACGGUGUGGUUGAUGACUGG